GCUCUAUUGAUGAAUGAACUGAAACUAUCCAGAGGCAUUGAAGUACCACAUGUCUUCUGUAAACUGGAUCAAGUUCUCAUGAUUACCUCAUCCUUAUUAAAGAUGUCUUCCUGGAGGAUAUCAUCCUUAGUGAGGACUUGGAGCAGACUUCAGAUCUUCUGUGAUUAUUCCUGACAAAGAAGAAUUGCUUUGUUGAUGUAUGCUAUGAUAUGUCCCAUGCUGAACAGUUUCAUCAAUAGCCUGAGAAACAAGGAUGUUAAAGUGCCCUUGGAGAAUUUUCAUCAGAGGUUCUUCUUGUCCAUAGUGAAUCAAAACCAUCAAAACUAAAUUCAUACUGAGACCUGAAAGU